rnacentral:lncRNA from 1 species
CAGGGCUUUUGUCGAACAGUUGGCGUGCCUCCGACCCCGACGACCCCAGCUCCAAGAGGUCGCAUAUGGGAGCUUCAAGGUUGUUUCCAUGGUUUCCAAGGGGUCGUGCGACCCCGACGACCCCACUGUGGAUCCGCCCCUGAUAACAGGUAAUACAUAAAAUGUCUAGGUUGAGUUCCAUUUCUUGAUAUGACAUCCGGUCAUAAGCUCAGAUAUGGUUUUAUCAGUGGUACUUAAAUUGUUCUUAUGAAAGUAAUUAUACAAAUAGAGGUCGCACUUGGUGCGAUGGCAAGUGUCUUCGCCCAUGAGCGGUAGGUCUCGGGUUCGAGACUUGGGAGCAGCCUCUUCCUAAAUGGGGGUAAGGCUAGCCGACAUUCAUCUCUCCCAGACCCUACGUAAAGCGGGAGCCUUGUGUACUGGGUACGACCUUUUUAAAGUAAUUAUACAAAUGCUAGCGUUGUGCCGUUUGUUAUAGUUGUAUCAGUGGUCUGCAAGUUACUUUUGUUCCUUUGUCAUGAUUGAUAUCAUUUUUGUGGUGGUAAAUUCUUGUCAACUACAGAGACUGGAAGAUGAAGGAGAGGCAUAAAGUUUUGGAAGGAAAAACACUCAAGGGGAUCUCUUGCUAGGUCCGACAGAGAAGCACUGGUCUAAUGUAGUAUUGUAGACUAUAUAAAUGUCUGAUCAUGUAUAUGUGUUUAAUUACUCCAAAUGAAGUACAUUACAAUCUCAAAGAUUCCAAAUAAGUGUUUUUCAUUUUGUAAAUUAUGAAUUGUAACAUUGGUUUGAAUUUCAUUUUAGUUUGGAACCUGUAGUACAAUUUCACAUGAAUUUUUUUUGUUGAAGCUGUUAAAAAAAUAUUGUCAUUGGCGUCCAAUUUGACGCCCAAUAUUUUUUUUUAAACCUGGUGGCAAUUAUUUGCGACACGUUACUUGCCGUUGCAAACCCGUAGUAAAUCGUAUUUGCGUCGCACUCACAGUGUCGCAUAUAAUCGACCAACAUUUACGAUGCAUAGUUAUUGCGAUGUGUUACUUGCCGUCGCAAGCCCGUCGUAAAAGGUAUAUU